UACGUAGGGUGCAAGCGUUGUCCGGAAUUAUUGGGCGUAAAGAGCUCGUAGGCGGUUUGUCGCGUCGGCUGUGAAAACCCGGGGCUCAACCCCGGGCCUGCAGUCGAUACGGGCAAACUAGAGUGUGGUAGGGGAGACUGGAAUUCCUGGUGUAGCGGUGAAAUGCGCAGAUAUCAGGAGGAACACCGGUGGCGAAGGCGGGUCUCUGGGCCGUAACUGACGCUGAGGAGCGAAAGCGUGGGGAGCGAACAGG
rnacentral:rRNA from 1 species